rnacentral:rRNA from 1 species
AUCCAGCUUGCUGGAUGCUGACGAGCGGCGGACGGGUGAGUAAUGCAUAGGAAUCUGCCCGAUAGUGGGGGAUAACCUGGGGAAACCCAGGCUAAUACCGCAUACGUCCUACGGGAGAAAGGGGGCUCCGGCUCCCGCUAUGGGAUGAGCCUAUGUCGGAUUAGCUAGUUGGUGAGGUAACGGCUCACCAAGGCCACGAUCCGUAGCUGGUCUGAGAGGAUGAUCAGCCACAUCGGGACUGAGACACGGCCCGAACUCCUACGGGAGGCAGCAGUGGGGAAUAUUGGACAAUGGGGGAAACCCUGAUCCAGCCAUGCCGCGUGUGUGAAGAAGGCCCUCGGGUUGUAAAGCACUUUCAGCGAGGAAGAACGCCUAGCGGUUAAUACCCGCUAGGAAAGACAUCACUCGCAGAAGAAGCACCGGCUAACUCCGUGCCAGCAGCCGCGGUAAUACGGAGGGUGCAAGCGUUAAUCGGAAUUACUGGGCGUAAAGCGCGCGUAGGUGGCUUGAUAAGCCGGUUGUGAAAGCCCCGGGCUCAACCUGGGAACGGCAUCCGGAACUGUCAAGCUAGAGUGCAGGAGAGGAAGGUAGAAUUCCCGGUGUAGCGGUGAAAUGCGUAGAGAUCGGGAGGAAUACCAGUGGCGAAGGCGGCCUUCUGGACUGACACUGACACUGAGGUGCGAAAGCGUGGGUAGCAAACAGGAUUAGAUACCCUGGUAGUCCACGCCGUAAACGAUGUCGACCAGCCGUUGGGUGCCUAGCGCACUUUGUUGGCGAAGUUAACGCGAUAAGUCGACCGCCUGGGGGAGUACGGCCGCAAGGUUAAAACUCAAAUGAAUUGACGGGGGCCCGCACAAGCGGUGGAGCAUGUGGUUUAAUUCGAUGCAACGCGAAGAACCUUACCUACUCUUGACAUCCUGCGAAUUUGGUAGAGAUACCUUAGUGCCUUCGGGAACGCAGAGACAGGUGCUGCAUGGCUGUCGUCAGCUCGUGUUGUGAAAUGGUUGGGUUAAGUCCCGUAACGAGCGCAACCCUUGUCCUUAUUUGCCAGCGCGUAAUGGCGGGAACU